ACGGGUGAGUAAUAUAUAGGAAUCUGCCUUGUAGUGGGGGAUAACCCGGGGAGACUCGGGCUAAUACCGCAUAAUCUUUACGAAGCAAAGUGGGGGACCGUAAGGCCUCACGCUAUAAGAUGAGCCUAUAUCGGAUUAGCUAGUUGGUGGGGUAAAGGCCUACCAAGGCAACGAUCCGUAGCUGGUCUGAGAGGAUGAUCAGCCACACUGGGACUGAGACACGGCCCAGACUCCUACGGGAGGCAGCAGUGGGGAAUAUUGGACAAUGGGCGAAAGCCUGAUCCAGCAAUGCCGUGUGUGUGAAGAAGGCCUUAGGGUUGUAAAGCACUUUCAGUAGGGAAGAAAAGUUUAAGGGUAAUAUCCUUGAAUCUUGACGUUACCUACAGAAGAAGCACUGGCUAACUCUGUGCCAGCAGCCGCGGUAAUACAGAGAGUGCGAGCGUUAAUCGGAAUUACUGGGCGUAAAGCGCACGUAGGUGGAUGUUUAAGUCGGAUGUGAAAGCCCUGGGCUUAACCUAGGAAUUGCAUUCGAUACUGGGCGUCUAGAGUAUAGUAGAGGGAAGUGGAAUUUCCGGUGUAGCG
rnacentral:rRNA from 1 species